rnacentral:rRNA from 1 species
GGAGCUUGCUCCUCUGAUCAGUGGCGAACGGGUGAGUAACACGUGAGCAACCUGCCCCAGACUCUGGGAUAACAGUUGGAAACAGCUGCUAAUACCGGAUACGAGACGGAGAGGCAUCUCUACCGUCCGGAAAGUUUUUCGGUCUGGGAUGGACUCGCGGCCUAUCAGCUAGUUGGUGAGGUAAUGGCUCACCAAGGCGACGACGGGUAGCCGGCCUGAGAGGGCGACCGGCCACACUGGGACUGAGACACGGCCCAGACUCCUACGGGAGGCAGCAGUGGGGAAUAUUGCACAGUGGGCGAAAGCCUGAUGCAGCGACGCCGCGUGAGGGAUGACGGCCUUCGGGUUGUAAACCUCUUUCAGCAGGGAAGAAGCGAAAGUGACGGUACCUGCAGAAGAAGCACCGGCUAACUACGUGCCAGCAGCCGCGGUAAUACGUAGGGUGCGAGCGUUGUCCGGAAUUAUUGGGCGUAAAGAGCUUGUAGGCGGUUUGUCGCGUCUGCAGUGAAAAUCCGAGGCUCAACCUCGGACUUGCUGUGGGUACGGGCAGACUAGAGUAUGGUAGGGGAGACCGGAAUUCCUGGUGUAGCGGUGGAAUGCGCAGAUAUCAGGAGGAACACCGAUGGCGAAGGCAGGUCUCUGGGCCAUAACUGACGCUGAGAAGCGAAAGCAUGGGGAGCGAACAGGAUUAGAUACCCUGGUAGUCCAUGCCGUAAACGUUGGGCGCUAGGUGUGGGGCUCAUUCCACGAGCUCCGUGCCGCAGCUAACGCAUUAA